rnacentral:rRNA from 1 species
CGGGAGCUUGCUCCUUGAUUCAGCGGCGGACGGGUGAGUAAUGCCUAGGAAUCUGCCUGGUAGUGGGGGACAACGUUUCGAAAGGAACGCUAAUACCGCAUACGUCCUACGGGAGAAAGCAGGGGACCUUCGGGCCUUGCGCUAUCAGAUGAGCCUAGGUCGGAUUAGCUUGUUGGUGAGGUAAUGGCUCACCAAGGCGACGAUCCGUAACUGGUCUGAGAGGAUGAUCAGUCACACUGGAACUGAGACACGGUCCAGACUCCUACGGGAGGCAGCAGUGGGGAAUAUUGGACAAUGGGCGAAAGCCUGAUCCAGCCAUGCCGCGUGUGUGAAGAAGGUCUUCGGAUUGUAAAGCACUUUAAGUUGGGAGGAAGGGCAGUAAGUUAAUACCUUGCUGUUUUGACGUUACCGACAGAAUAAGCACCGGCUAACUCUGUGCCAGCAGCCGCGGUAAUACAGAGGGUGCAAGCGUUAAUCGGAAUUACUGGGCGUAAAGCGCGCGUAGGUGGUUUGUUAAGUUGGAUGUGAAAGCCCCGGGCUCAACCUGGGAACUGCAUCCAAAACUGGCAAGCUAGAGUACGGUAGAGGGUGGUGGAAAUUUCCUG